rnacentral:rRNA from 1 species
UACCUGCAGCUCAAGUGGUGACCGCUAUUAUUGGGCCUAAAACGUUCGUAGCCGGCUGAGUAAAUGCUUGGGUAAAUCGUGUCGCUUAACGGUACGAAUUCCGGGUAGACUGCUCAGCUUGAGACCGGGAGAAGCUAGAGGUACUCCUGGGGUAGAGGUGAAAUUCUGUAAUCCUGGGGGGACCACCAGUGGCGAAGGCGUCUAGCUAGAGCGGGUCUGACGGUGAGGAACGAAACCCUGGGGCGCAAACCGGAUUAGAUACCCGGGUAGUCCAGGGCGCAAACGCUGCUUGCUUGAUGUUAGCUGGGCUCCGGGCUCAGCUAGUGUCGGAGAGAAGUUGUUAAGCAAGCUGCCUGGGAAUACGAUCGCAAGAUUGAAACUUAAAGGAAUUGGCGGGGAGCACAGCAACGGGUGGAGCGUGCGGUUU